rnacentral:pre_miRNA from 1 species
AUGACAGAAGAGAGUGAGCACACAUAGUAAUUUUCUUGCAAGAUGGAUAUGCUGGAAGCUCUGUGUGCUCACCCUCUAUCUGUCAU